rnacentral:rRNA from 1 species
AUUGAACGCUGGCGGCAGGCCUAACACAUGCAAGUCGAGCGGAGCGGCGGACGGGUGAGUAAUGCCUAGGAAUCUGCCUGGUAGUGGGGGAUAACGUCCGGAAACGGGCGCUAAUACCGCAUACUAUCAGAUGAGCCUAGGUCGGGUUAGCUAGUUGGUGGGGUAAAGGUCUACCAAGGCGACGUUCCGUAACUGGUCUGAGAGGAUGAUCAGUCACACUGGAACUGAUACACGGUCCAGACUCCUACGGGAGGCAGAAGGGGGAAAUAGUGGACAAUGGGCGAAAGGCUGAUCCAGCCAUGCCGCGUGUGUGACGAAGGUCUUCGGAUUGUAAAGCACUUUAAGUUGGGAGGCGUUACCAGCAGAAUAAGCACCGGCUAACUGCAUGCCAGCAGCCGCGGUAAUAC